GAGGCUUCUGGGGCACUCGCCUGGACAGACGCUGCCACCAGCAACCUGCCCCCGCCUGCCUCCGUCUCCCCUUGUCCUUCUGUCCUCUUGGGCUCCCUGAGCCCUGCUCUGUGCCAGGUGCUUCUACCCCACGUUCCUUCCACAGGUGACCAGGGUCUCUUUCUUUGUUUUUAAUCACAAGAGCGGUGUUCUGCACACUUCCUCCUGUAUAUGAUUUUGAGACAUUUGCCUCCCAGUUACUUCCCUCUGCCUGCAUCUGCCCCCAGUGGACAAUGUCAUCUGAAUCGAGCCAGCCCCAAGUUCCCCUCCAGCCUCCGUAGGGCCAUGGCUGUGUGUUACUGUUGCUGUGCUUUCAUUUUUAAACUGGGUUUGGGGUUUGAUUUUUAUUUUCUUUGGGGAACUUUAUUUUUCUUGGCAAAUAACUAAAGUUCUUGUCCAUGUAAUUUCUGUGGUCUCUAUUCAGCUUGAGUUUCAUGUUUUAAAAUAAACAAUUUU
rnacentral:lncRNA from 1 species